rnacentral:misc_RNA from 1 species
UGUCAGGGUCAUGGGAG